rnacentral:tRNA from 2 species
GCGGGCAUCGUAUAGCGGUAAUACCUUAGCCUUCCAAGCUAAAGACACGGGUUCGAUUCCCGUUGCCCGCU